rnacentral:rRNA from 1 species
CCUACGGGAGGCAGCAGUGGGGAAUAUUGCACAAUGGGGGAAACCCUGAUGCAGCGACGCCGCGUGAGUGAAGAAGUAAUUCGUUAUGUAAAGCUCUAUCAGCAGGGAAGAACAUGACGGUACCUGAGUAAGAAGCCCCGGCUAAAUACGUGCCAGCAGCCGCGGUAAUCCGUAGGGGGCAAGCGUUAGCCGGAUUUACUGGGUGGAACGGGAGCGUAGACGGCAGUGCAAGUCUGGGAGUAACGGCGGGGGUUAAACCCCCGGACUGCUCUGGAAACUGUACGGAUGGAGUGCAGGAGAGGUAAGUGGAAUUCCUAGUGUAGCGGUGAAAUGCGUAGAUAUUAGGAGGAACACCAGUGGCGAAGGCGGCUUACUGGACUGUAACUGACGUUGAGGCUCGAAAGCGUGGGGAGCAAACAGGAUUAGAUACCCCAGUAGUC